GACGAACGCUGGCGGCGUGCUUAACACAUGCAAGUCGAACGGAAAGGCCCUGCUUUUGUGGGGUGCUCGAGUGGCGAACGGGUGAGUAACACGUGAGUAACCUGCCCUUGACUUUGGGAUAACUUCAGGAAACUGGGGCUAAUACCGGAUAGGAGCUCCUGCUGCAUGGUGGGGGUUGGAAAGUUUCGGCGGUUGGGGAUGGACUCGCGGCUUAUCAGCUUGUUGGUGGGGUAGUGGCUUACCAAGGCUUUGACGGGUAGCCGGCCUGAGAGGGUGACCGGCCCCAUUGGGACUGGGAUACGGCCCAGCCUCCUACGGGAGGCAGCAGUGGGGAAUAUUGCACAAUGGGCGGAAGCCUGAUGCAGCAACGCCGCGUGCGGGAUGACGGCCUUCGGGUUGUAAACCGCUUUCGCCUGUGACGAAGCGUGAGUGACGGUAAUGGGUAAAGAAGCACCGGCUAACUACGUG
rnacentral:rRNA from 1 species